GUUGUUUAUUUUAAUGGUGUGUGGAUUUUGUAGUCCAUGGCUGAAGCAUUGGAAACACAAGUUAAGAGCAAGGUCUCCAUUAAGGGACAUCUCCACACAUACAGAUUUUGUGACAACGUUUGGACCUUCAUGUUACAAGAUGCAUUGAUUAAGACUGAUGACUGUCAAGAGAAUGUUGGAAGAGUUAAAAUUGUGGCAUGUGAUUCAAAGUUACUCACACAAUAAACUUGCUGAAUUUCCAUGGACUGUGGAUGAAGGAGUUGUUGUCAUUUGCUUGUAUCAUGGGAAUGGUGGUGGCAAAGACAAUAGUCAAAGAUGAUCUUAAUUCUCGAAUGAACAGCAACCACGUAACAAUAUGGAUUUUAAAGCCAUUAAUCUUCACACCUUUAUUUAGUUAAUGUUACAUUCAGAAUGCUACAUGUUUAAUUGGAUGAGAAUACUCUCCUUCACUGUACUGUUUUAUAAACGAACUUAUGGUUGAAGGAUGGUUGUUUCAGAUUGUGAUUUUUGACCAUCUUAUAACGUAAAAACGUUUUUUUGA